CAUAAGUCAAGUUUAAAUGGUUACAUUUUGUUUAUUCUUUUCAGGGAACAAGCUUUUAUGCUGAAAGUGCGAAGCAUUACUGAAGGUAUAGUCAGUGUAGAAAUCCAUAAGCAAGUUGGAAAAAUACACAAUUGAUUGAAGGCCAAGUGGUCACCAUUUACCCCUUACGGUCUCAGAGCCAUAAGCACGGAUGGGGGUGGUGGAGGGAAACCGCUGAAGUACUUCUUCUUGGAUAACAUCUGGCGGCUUCGGCGGUGUGAGCCCUUGGAUUGGACAAUGUAGGUAGAUGCAGUCUGGUCCCUCACCUUCUUUGGCCUCUGAAGCCACUUGGAGCUGGGCAGCUGAGGAGCCUUCUUCAGUGGCUUGAAGAGGACUGGUUGUGCAGCGGCUUUACUUGAAGUCGAGUCCAAGACGAAAUCAGCCACAUCGCUUGGAUAGGCAGGGGUUUCCACAGGAGCAACAUGGGCCCAGUGACCUGUAUGACUGGAGAAUACCGGCUCCUCUUCUCUGGUCAUGUAGGAAGCCGAGGACCAAGUGCUUGGCUGGACUGCGUUCAUAGAGUCAUACUUGGAGGCGUCAACCCCCUCUGAAUAAAGCUGUGCAGUUUCAGCAGCAGGGUAUUGAUAAACAGCCUCAUCAACAAGGUUAGGGGAAUAGCUUUGUGAACCUUCUUGUACAUCAGCUGGGAGGUCAAGGUGCAGUGAAGAGCUAGAGUAACCCCCUUUAGUGUCAGUACUAGGUACUGCUUCAGCCUCCAGAGUCUGUUUGCUAAUGGUCUGCGCUGCCUGGGCCCAGUCACCUGAAUUACUGACGUAAACCGGCUCCUCUUCUCUAGUCAUGUAGGGAGCAGAAGACCAAGUGCUGGGCUGGACCACAUUCACAGAGUUGUAGUCGGAGAGGUCACUCUGUUCUGAAGGAAGAUGUGCAGUUUCAGCAGCAGGGUAUUGAUAAACAGCCUCAUCGACAAGGUUAGGGGAAUAGCUUUGUGAACCUUCUUGUACACCAGCUGGGAGGUCAAGGUGCAGUGAAGAGCUAGAGUAACCCCCUUUAGUGUCAAUACUAGGUACUGCUUCAGCCUCCAGGAUCUGUGCGCCAAUGUUCAGAGCGGCCUGGGUCCAGUUACCUGCAUUACUGGAGAAUACCGGCUCUUCUCUGGUAAUGUAACGAUCAGAGGACCAACUGCUUGGCUGUUCCACAUUCACAGAGUCAUAGGUGUAGGGGUCAUCAUCUGAUGAAGGAAGCUGUGCAGUUUCAGCAGCUGGGUAUUGAGAAAAGUCCUCAUAGACAAGGUUAGUGCAAUAGCUUUGUGAACCUUCUUGUACACCAGCUGGGAGGUCAAGGUGCAGUGAAGAGCUAGAGUAACCCCCUUUAGUGUCAAUUCUAGGUACUGCUUCAGCCUCCAGGAUCUGUGCGCUAAUGUUCGGAGCAGCGUGGGCCCAGUUACUUAAUACCGGCUCCUCUCUAGUCAUGUAAGGAGCAGAAGACCAAGUGCUUGGCUGGACCACAUUCACCGAGUUGUAGUCAGAGAGGUCACUCUCUUCUGAAGGAAGCUGUGCAGUUUCAGCAGCAGGGUAAUGAAAAGCAUCCUCAUAGACCAGGUUAGGGGAAUAGCUUGGUGAAACAGCCUGGACAUCGAGGUACAGCGCAGAGCUGGAGUAACCCCCUUUAGUGUCAGUUCUAGAUACUACGUCAGCCUGCAGAGUCUGUGCGCUAAUGGUCGGCGCCAUGUUACCUGAAUUAAUGGAGAAUACUGGCUCCCCUCCUCCGGUCAUGUAGGAAGCAGAGGACCGACUUCUUGGCUGGUCCGCAUAGAAGUGUGAGCCCUCUUGUUCACCAGCCUGGAAGUUGAGGUUCUGGGUAGGAUUAAAGUACCCGCCACUUUUAGACACUUGUUUAGACUCCAAAGUAGGACCACUACUGAAUGCACCAUCGUCCAUCAACAGAUAUGGAGUAGGAGGGAUAAGGUCAGAGCCUGCCAGUUCUGAAGAUGGUUUGGAAGAGGGCUCAUAAGCUGAUGGGAACAUAGGCUUUCUGCUUCCCCACUGCUCCUCAAAUGAGUCAAGCUGGUAGGGAGGUCUUAGAGGGAAUGUCACUGGCCCGACACGGUUCCAGUCUGCAAUCUUGGCAUUUUCCUGUCCAAGCUCCAUCGCUCCACCUCCCUGGAACCUCGCCCCUUUCUCUGGGUUCAAGGGUGCCUGCUUUAAAGCUGCAGCUAGUGGGAUUUUGUUGCUUCGGUCUGAAUAUCCUUUUACUAGGCUAUAUAAAUCCAACAUCCCAGUUGGAUAAUUUGCUAGCUUGAUAUCCUCAGCCAUAGCUUUAGGAUGGUCACUGGAGGUGUACUUGUACCCUAAGAGGAAAAAUACAAAAAUAUACUAAGUGAAAGUGAGAAUCGAACAAGUAAAAACUGUUAAAAUGUGGUAUCAGAUGUACCCUUCAUUGACGGGAAAGGAAGACUACCACCAAACAGCAAUAAACAAAUCCAAGACACUCUGCAAUACAAGAAAAAAAAAAGUAUUCAGUUACACAUAACAAGAGAAAAUAGAAUAGCCAAAAGCCAAAAUGCCAACUCUACCUGAGAAGGUACCCAACAGCCAUCAUAGUUGAAGCAGCACACUCCAUUCAAAGUAUUUUCCAGAAAGGUAGGUUGGUUGGUUCAGGCCAAACCAGACCAAAAAGACAGUUGCAGUGUUCCUCUGCUAUCUCUUUAUAUAGUGGCCCUGCAACCACUCAACACCCAAGCAUUAGCAGCUGUUAGCCUCUGCAACAUAAUCAUCCACAUCAGAAACAGGUGUGCUAUUUGCAAACCAUGUUCUUUAUCGGUCUUCCUCAUUGACAUACGUUGCAAAUCUCUCAAUGUUUCAACAUAACAAUUAUUUUGCCCCUUUUUG
ensembl:lncRNA